rnacentral:lncRNA from 1 species
GUCCACCUGGGUGAAGCUCUCAUCAGCAGCAAUGGUGUCAAUCUUGGCAAACUGGCUCUCUCGAAUAAAACGCUCCUUGUCGUUGUUUGAUUCAUAGUAAUAGAGGUUGAAAGUCUCUUUGCAAGUUCCCAUGACACCUGGCAGGCUGUUGCAGUCUCUCAGCGUGAACUUGAUUUCAAUAUAUACCCUCUGAGCCCCCUCGCGGGGAAUCCAAUCAGUUCGUAACCAAUUAUUCUGACUGGGCUCCAUCACAUUGCAAACUUGGUAGGUGCGGAUCGGAGUGUUCUUCUCAUCCAUUAUGCUCACUUCCUCCCACCCUCCUUCCAGCGGGCUCGCGAUCCAGCCCAGCUCCCCCUGCACCGAGCGGGAGUCCAGCAGGGUCACUGCGGGGAGGCAAAACAGCGCGUUACGCUCCGGCCGCGCUCGCAGACACCGCGCAGCCGAGCGCUCCCGCGCGCGGGGACCCGGGCAGCUCCACGCGGGGCUCGGAGCGGGGCGCCCACGUUAAGUAACGCGGAGCCGCGCCGCUCGCUGGAGCCGCUCGCGGGGCAGGGGGGGCAGCAAGCGGAGCUCCGGACAGCGAACAAGCGGCGCCUCGGACGCUCGGCGGAGCGCUGCCGGCCCCCAGCAACCACGGGCGGUGUCGCUCCCGCCGCAGCCUGCCCUGCCCCGUCC